rfam:Sorghum bicolor cultivar BTx623 chromosome 8, whole genome shotgun sequence.
CUAUGCCAUUUGGUAUCUGACUCACAGUCAUUUUUUGUGAUUGUGUGUCUCGAAACAUGGCAGAAAACAAGGGGGAACGGAUCUUGCGACACUGGUUGCUCAUUUAUGAGCUUCCAGUUACUAUAUGCCCGUUUACAUCU